AGACGAGGAGCUUGCUCCUCUGACGUUAGCGGCGGACGGGUGAGUAACACGUGGAUAACCUACCUAUAAGACUGGGAUAACUUCGGGAAACCGGAGCUAAUACCGGAUAAUAUUUUGAACCGCAUGGUUCAAUAGUGAAAGACGGUUUUGCUGUCACUUAUAGAUGGAUCCGCGCCGCAUUAGCUAGUUGGUAAGGUAACGGCUUACCAAGGCAACGAUGCGUAGCCGACCUGAGAGGGUGAUCGGCCACACUGGAACUGAGACACGGUCCAGACUCCUACGGGAGGCAGCAGUAGGGAAUCUUCCGCAAUGGGCGAAAGCCUGACGGAGCAACGCCGCGUGAGUGAUGAAGGUCUUCGGAUCGUAAAACUCUGUUAUUAGGGAAGAACAAAUGUGUAAGUAACUAUGCACGUCUUGACGGUACCUAAUCAGAAAGCCACGGCUAACUACGUGCCAGCAGCCGCGGUAAUACGUAGGUGGCAAGCGUUAUCCGGAAUUAUUGGGCGUAAAGCGCGCGUAGGCGGUUUUUUAAGUCUGAUGUGAAAGCCCACGGCUCAACCGUGGAGGGUCAUUGGAAACUGGAAAACUUGAGUGCAGAAGAGGAAAGUGGAAUUCCAUGUGUAGCGGUGAAAUGCGCAGAGAUAUGGAGGAACACCAGUGGCGAAAGCGACUUUCUGGUCUGUAACUGACGCUUAUAUGCGAAAGCGUGGGGAUCAAACAG
rnacentral:rRNA from 1 species